rnacentral:rRNA from 1 species
UACGUAGGGCGCAAGCGUUGACCGGAAUUAUUGGGCGUAAAGAGCUCGUAGGCGGCCUGUCGCGUCGGAUGUGAAAGCCCGGGGCUUAACCCCGGGUCUGCAUUCGAUACGGGCAGGCUAGAGUGUGGUAGGGGAGAUCGGAAUUCCUGGUGUAGCGGUGAAAUGCGCAGAUAUCAGGAGGAACACCGGUGGCGAAGGCGGAUCUCUGGGCCAUUACUGACGCUGAGGAGCGAAAGCGUGGGGAGCGAACAGG